rnacentral:tRNA from 1 species
ACCCUUCUUACCUGCC